rnacentral:rRNA from 1 species
AAUGAACGCUGGCGGCAUGCCUAACACAUGCAAGUCGAACGAAACCUUCGGGUCUAGUCGCGCAUGCGGCCGUAGCCCGUGGGAUCCUGCCCUUAGGUUUGGAAUAACUCCCCGAAUGGGGUGCUAAUACGGGAUCAUGUCUCCCGUCCAAAGAUUUAUCGCCUUUGGAUGGGCCCGCGUUGGAUUAGCAGGUUGUUAGGGUAAAAGCCUACCACGGGGAGGAUCCGUAGCUGGUUAGAGAGGCUGCUCAGCGACACUGGGACUGAGACACGGCCCAGAAUCCUACGCGAGGCAGCAAUGGGGAAUAUUGGACAAUGGGCGGAGGGCUGAACGAGCAAUGCCGGGUGAGUGAUGAAGGCCUUAGGGUUGUAAAGCUCUUUUACCCGGGAUGAUAAUGACAGUACCGGGAGAAUAAGCUCCGGCUAACUCCGUG